UUAGAACCAGAAAUAAAUGAAGGAAAACCUGUGAGUCCAGGACUUCUGAAAGAUGACCUGUCUGGGCAGGAAUCAGGAUCUGGAUCCCAGCUUCAGGCAAAAACAGAGGGACACAAGGACACCAGCUCAGAGAGCAACCUCGCUGAGUCAGAGAGAGGUGAUGACCUGCAGUUGCGGGAUAACUCCUCCUGGGUGAUUCUACCCCCCAGUGCAGAACUGAACCAAGACAAAGCACAUCCACUGAGUUCAGGACGGGAAUUGGGACCUGGAUCACAGCUGCAGUGCCAUGUAGCUGGAGUAACAGAUGAGGUGGGAGUUUUAUUUAACUCAGUCAAGAUCAGUUGAGCAUAGUUAUUCCAAUAAUUAGCAGGCAUGCCAGUUUGGCUGGUGGCACAGGGUGGUGCCGCAGAGCAAGAUCCCAAUUCAAGUCUGGCCAGCAAACUUUUGUAGUUUGGACCAA